rnacentral:rRNA from 1 species
GUCGAAGGUGGGGCAGAUGAUUGGGGUGAAGUCGUAACAAGGUAGCCGUAUCGGAAGGUGCGGCUGGAUCACCUCCUUUCUAAGGAA